UACGUAGGGGGCAAGCGUUAAUCGGAAUUUCUGGGCGUAAAGCGUGCGCAGGCGGUGAUGUAAGACAGAUGUGAAAUCCCCGGGCUCAACCUGGGAACUGCAUUUGUGACUGCAUCGCUGGAGUGCGGCAGAGGGGGAUGGAAUUCCACGUGUAGCAGUGAAAUGCGUAGAUAUGCGGAGGAACACCGAUGGCGAAGGCAAUCCCCUGGGCCUGCACUGACGCUCAUGCACGAAAGCGUGGGGAGCAAACAGG
rnacentral:rRNA from 1 species